UUGAAAGGGAAACGAUUGAAGUCAGUCAUGCUCACGAGAAUCAACUUAGAGGAAACUCUGGGUGCACUUCUUCGUUUGGCAGGUUAGUGUCGAUUUUGGAUGUCAUAAAAUAAUUGGGGGAAGGUAGCUCUUUCGGGAGUGUUAUAGCCCUUGGUAGAUGUGAUGUCUGGGAUCGAGGAUUGCAACGGAUACCCUUCGGGGCUAACCGCCUGAUCUCUAAUCGGUGUUGGGUUACGGAUAGCAUGCUGACCGUGAUCUAAUUACUGGUUAAAAGGUUAGAGCGUGCAUAAAUUCGUUAAGGAUGUUGACGUA
rnacentral:rRNA from 1 species